rnacentral:rRNA from 1 species
UGCGUAGGGGGCAAGCGUUGUCCGGAUUUAUUGGGCGUAAAGAGCGUGUAGGCGGCUUUACAGGUCCGUUGUGAAAACUCGAGGCUCAACCUCGAGACGCCGGUGGAAACCGUAAGGCUAGAGUCCGGAAGAGGAGAGUGGAAUUCCUGGUGUAGCGGUGGAAUGCGCAGAUAUCAGGAGGAACACCCGUGGCGAAAGCGGCUCUCUGGGACGGUACUGACGCUGAGACGCGAAAGCGUGGGGAGCAAACAGG